rnacentral:rRNA from 1 species
UAUACAACCUCAACUCAUAUGGGACUACCCCCUAAAUUUAAGCAU